UGAUCAGCAUGCCGCGUGUGUGAAGAAGGCCUUCGGGUUGUAAAGCACUUUUGUCCGGGAAGAAAUCGCACCUGAUAAUACCGGGUGUGGAUGACGGUACCGGAAGAAUAAGGACCGGCUAACUACGUGCCAGCAGCCGCGGUAAUACGUAGGGUCCAAGCGUUAAUCGGAAUUACUGGGCGUAAAGCGUGCGCAGGCGGUUGUGCAAGACCGAUGUGAAAUCCCCGGGCUUAACCUGGGAAUUGCAUUGGUGACUGCACGGCUAGAGUGUGUCAGAGGGGGGUAGAAUUCCACGUGUAGCAGUGAAAUGCGUAGAGAUGUGGAGGAAUACCGAUGGCGAAGGCAGCCCCCUGGGAUAACACUGACGCUCAUGCACGAAAGCGUGGGGAGCAAACAGGAUUAGAUACCCUGGUAGUCCACGCCCUAAACGAUGUCAACUAGUUGUUGGGGAUUCAUUUCCUUAGUAACGUAGCUAACGCGUGAAGUUGACCGCCUGGGGAGUACGGUCGCAAGAUUAAAACUCAAAGGA
rnacentral:rRNA from 1 species